ACGUAGGUGGCUAGCGUUACUCGGAUUUACUAGGCGUAAAGCGCAUGUAGGCGGUUGGAUAAGUCGACUGUUAAAGCCCCUGGCUUAACCAGGGGAGGUCGGUCGAAACUGUUUAACUUGAGUUUGGUAGAGGUAACUGGAAUUCCCGGUGUAGCGGUGAAAUGCGUAGAUAUCGGGAGGAAUACCAAUGGCGAAGGCAGGUUACUGGACCAAUACUGACGCUCAGAUGCGAAAGCUAGGGGAGCAAACAG
rnacentral:rRNA from 1 species